rnacentral:tRNA from 1 species
GUGUUCGUGGUAUAGUUGUCAGCACACUCGGCGCGUAUUCGAGAGGUCCGAGGUUCGAGUCCCGGCGAGGACA